GACAGAGGGUGCAAACGUUGUUCGGAAUUACUGGGCGUAAAGCGCGUGUAGGCGGUCCGGUAAGUCCGCUGUGAAAGUCGGGGGCUCAACCUCGGAUGCCGGUGGAUACUGUCGGGCUUGAGUACGGAAGAGGCGAGUGGAAUUCCUGGUGUAGCGGUGAAAUGCGCAGAUAUACGGAGGAACACCAGCGGCGAAGGCGGGUAGCUGGGCCAACACUGACGCUGAUGCGCGAAAGCUAGGGUAGCAAACGGG
rnacentral:rRNA from 1 species